rnacentral:rRNA from 1 species
AGAUGGCUCCCACGUCCAAGGAUGGCAGCAGGCGCGAAAAUUGUCCACUCUUUUGAGAGGAGACAGUUAUGAAACGUGAGUAGAAGGGUCGAGUGUAAAAACCUUGACGUGAAGCAAUUGGAGGGCAAGUUUUGGUGCCAGCAGCCGCGGUAAUUCCAACUCCAAGAGUGUCUAUGGUGGAUGCUGCAGUUAAAGGGUCCGUAGUCGUAGAUGCAAUUAAAAGGUGGUGUUAAAAGCCAUUGAGUUUGUUGAGAGUAGCGGAACGGAUAGGGAGCAUGGUAUAGGUGGGCAAAGAAUGAAAUCUCAAGACCCCACCUGGACCAACGGAGGCGAAAGCGAUGCUCUUAGACGUAUCUGGGGAUCAAGGACGAAGGCUAGAGUAUCGAAAGUGAUUAGACACCGCUGUAGUUCUAGCAGUAAACUAUGCCGACAAUGCUGGGUGUUGCGAGAGCGAUGCUUGGUGUGGGAGAAAUCUUAGUUUUCGGGCUCUGGGGAUAGUACGCUCGCAAGGGUGAAACUUAAAGCGAAAUUGACGGAAGGACACUACCAGGAGUGGAUUGUGCUGCUUAAUUUAACUCAACGCGGGAAAACUUACCAGGGUCAAGUCUAUCGUAGAUUGGAGACAUGAGGUAGACAAGAGUGGUGCAUGGCCGUUGGAAAUUGAUGGGGCGACUUUUAGCUUAAGUGCUGGAACCAGUGAGAUCUUCUAGACAGGUGUUAUUUAGGCACAGGAGGGAGAAGGCAAUAACAGGUCCGUGAUGCCCUUAGAUAUCCUGGGCAGCAAGCGCAAUACAAUAUCUCUUGAGAAGACAAAGCAAUUUGAGAUGAGUAGGAUUAGCUUUUGUAAAUAAGCUAUGAAUGAGGAAUUCCUAGUAACAGUGUCUCAUCAAGGCAUUGUGAAUGUGUCCCUGUUCU